rnacentral:ncRNA from 2 species
CAAUAAGGAAGACGGGAUGGCUACCUCUAUAGGUAGCCGAGGGAAGUCAGUGAGAAUCUGACGCGGUCCCGCCACUGUGACAGGGAGCAGGCCCACAUCAAAAAGCCACUGGGCUUUAGGUUUAAGCCUGGGAAGGCGUGGGUAGCGAUGAACUGGAGCCAGGAGACCUGCCUGUCUUCUUUGUACCAU